UCUUUUGAAAGUUGAGCGGGUUGGGUUGGGAUUUUAAGAGAGCGCGGCCAAAGACAGCCGAAAAAAAGAACCAAGCGAAACAGGGAGGAACAACGUUUCCAAGAAACGAGAUCUGAGCUUCGGCAAAUGGGAAGCUCCAACACCGGAGUCAAGGACGACUCCACCACCGACGCCGACACGUCCACCGGCGACAUUCCGGCAUCCAAUUCCGGCACCUUCUCUGAAGGUGAGAAGGUCCUCGCUUAUCACGGGCCCCGCAUCUACGAAGCGAAGGUCCAAAAGGCUGAAUUUCGAAAGAAGGAGUGGAGAUACUUUGUUCAUUACCUUGGAUGGAAUAAAAAUUGGGAUGAAUGGGUGGGGAUGGACCGUCUGAUGAAACAUACUGAAGAAAAUAUUCUGAAGCAGCAGGCCCUUGACAAAAAACAAGGUGCAGAAAAGAAUCCAAAAUCAGGGCGUUCGGCACAGGCGAAGCCAAAAAGCUCUACUGAUGCAAAAGUGGAGAAGGAGGAUCUCAAGAGCUACGAUGGUAAUGGUUAUCCUAUUAAAGAUACACUUGUUAAAAGUGGUGAUAUUGACACAAAUGAAAGAGAAUUAAAAGUGUAUUCAAGGCAAAAGAAAGGACCUAGUAAUGUCGUAUCUCAAGAGCCUUGCCCUUCUUCAGUGGCUAGAGGGAAGAGGCGAAAAAGUGACUCUGGCAUUGAGAAGGACAAUGCAUCAACAGAAAAGCUUGUCAAGAUCCCAAUUCCAGCGACACUAAAGAAGCAACUUGUUGAUGAUUGGGAUUUUGUUACUCAGCAGGAUAAGCUUGUUAAACUUCCGCGCAUUCCAAAUGUCGAUGCAAUAUUGAUAAAGUAUCUUGAGUACAGGAUAAAGAAGGAUGGCACGAUGACUGAUUAUGUUGCAGAAAUAUUGAAUGGGCUUCGAUCUUACUUUGAUAGAGCAUUGCCAAUGAUGCUUUUAUAUAAAAAAGAGCGUCAACAAUUUCAAGAAGCAAUUUACCACCCUGAUCUCUCUCCAUCAACUGUAUAUGGCGCAGAGCAUCUGCUGCGCCUCUUUGUUAAGUUGCCUGAGUUGUUAGCAUGCGUGAACAUCGAAGAGGAGACUUUGAUUGGCAUGCAGCAGAAAUUCAUUGACUUUCUCAAGUUUCUGCAGAAAAACCAGAGUACUUUCUUCCUUUCUGCCUAUGAGGGCUCUAAAUCUUCUGAAGGAAGUGGUAGGGGAAAAGGCUGACUGAGCCAGUGGCACUAUCUGCUUUAUGAUCAUAUGGUGAAGAUCUUGCGAUGGUUUCAUGAAUUUUAUCAAUGCCUGAUUCUGCUUUAACAAUCUUGAAAGAUAGAACAACUUUUUGUUCUUAUGCCAGUUUUUUUUUUCUUCCUCUUCCUUUUUUCUUUUCUUUUUCUUUUUCCUUUUUUUUUUUAGUGACACUCAGUUGGAGCUUCUUCUGUGCAAUGAAUAGAGCUAUUUGGAGUCGCUAACAUCCUUUACUUGUAACCUUAGACAAGUAAUGUAUGAGCUAGCUACCUUCAUCACCCAUAGUGCCUUCUGUUGACGUAUAUGCUGUACUAUCAUUCAGGCACUCCUAAGAUGCUUGUCUUGGCCUUUGUUUGAUGUCUUUUAUGUGAUGAAUGUAAAUACGAGCGUUUCCUCAAAUUUUAUUUAUGGCCUUGAACCAACUAGCUGGGUGAUCCAGUGAAUCCUAUGAGAAGAUACAGUACGGCAUACCACUACCGCGUGUGGAAUAAAUAAUGUGUUCCUAAAGGGUCCUUUUUUUUUUGGGUUUUCCUCUCGUUUUUAUGGUUGUAAGGCAUGAAAGCUGUAAGAAUAAAACCCACAGUGGAACUGCUUGAUUGA